UACGGGGGGGGCAAGCGUUGUUCGGAAUUACUGGGCGUAAAGGGCUCGUAGGCGGCCAACUAAGUCAGACGUGAAAUCCCCCGGCUUAACCAGGGAACUGCGUCUGAUACUGGAUGGCUUGAGUUUGGGAGAGGGAUGCGGAAUUCCAGGUGUAGCGGUGAAAUGCGUAGAUAUCUGGAGGAACACCAAUGGCGAAGGCAGCUCACUGGGACGGUACUGACGCUGAGACGCGAAAGCGUGGGGAGCAAACAGG
rnacentral:rRNA from 1 species